UCGAACGCCCCGCAAGGGGAGUGGCAGACGGGUGAGUAACACGUGGGAACAUACCCUUUGGUUCGGAACAACUCAGGGAAACUUGAGCUAAUACCGGAUAAGUGCGAGAGCAGAAAGAUUUAUCGCCGAAGGAUUGGCCCGCGUCUGAUUAGCUUGUUGGUGAGGUAACGGCUCACCAAGGCGACGAUCAGUAGCUGGUCUGAGAGGAUGAUCAGCCACAUUGGGACUGAGACACGGCCCAA
rnacentral:rRNA from 1 species